UCGUCGUUGCUCCUUACCUGGUGCCACCUCUACGUUCAGGCUCUCAUGUUUCUUGUUUUUUCUCAUAUUCCCUGUAUUCUGUCGCUCCAGUCACUAACCCUGUCUUUCUGUCUGUUUUCCCUCCCAGGUUCACUCACCCUCGUCCUCCGUUCAGUCGGCUGGGCUCAUCCUCCGGUCCUCUCCUCUCGGUCUUCCUCCACGGCGCCCUCCCGGCUCCUCCCUGCUCCUCGCCUCACCACCCAUGCUUCGCCUGCUCCUCGGUCCUCCGUGCCCGCAUCCCCUGGUGUCCACCUCUCCUCCCUCACCUCUUCCCUAGCCCCCUCCGUGAACCCUCAAUAAAACCUCCUUCCCUCUGAGUGUUACGUUUGGGUCCUUUCUGUCCCGUCUCCUAACAUCUUCUUCAGCAUGCGGUGUUCGGGCGAACCUCGCAACAAAUAAAACAGCUGAGGCAGGGAUUGCAAAACUCCAUGUUGUUGCCACUGUUGGAGGCCAGGCCAGAUGUAGUACCAUUGGUUUUUCCACGUCAAUCAAUGGUUGAAUGCACUACUCAGUGAUUCAAGACAAACUGAAGCAGCUGGUAAAAUUCUGGGUGGGCUGGGAGCUGCCCGUGGAAGUUGUGCAGGCAGACCAUCCAAGAUCAUCCACCUGUUUCCACAUCCUGCGCUUGCCUGGUCACUACACCGGUUAUGAAGAGUUUUGCAAUCAUCUGGAAGGUUGCAUUGCAACUAAUGAUUGUGGGUUUGGACUAAUAUGAAGUCUGAGUUUUGCUGCAUACCAUUGUUAGGGCACACUGCACAUCACCCAUGCAUGUUUAGAAAGUGUGUAGUUUGUGACAUAAAUAGUCAGUAGAUGGCAGCCUUUUGUGUUCUAUGAGGAACAAGUUCUAAAUUCAUGAGGUCUCUUCAUUUUCUGGUUUCCUUUAAAUUGAAUCUUUACAUUGAUUCACGUAUCAAAUGUUUACAGCCUCGAAGCCCAUGAGGGAUUCUGAAAACACAACUAUAUCAUUUAAAAAAAGAGAAACGACUGGUUUUUUUUUUGUUUUGUUUUUUUUAAACACAAAAAAUAGAAUAUGCUUGAAGUAUAAAAGUGCAUGCUGGCUGAAAGUUGCUGUCAAGGAGCGAUUACAGAGUCCCCUCUUGGCCAUGUUCUGUGCUCUCCCUGGACUAGGUUCUUUUCUUAGCUGAAAAUCUAAGACUGUUAAUGGAGUCACUGAUCUACUAGACUAGAUUUGGUGAAGGUAAAGUUUUGUCAGUUUCAAGAAAAUAGGAAAUGUUGUAAAAGGUCACGGUGAUAAUAAUCAAGUCAUAGUUGAGCAUUCUGUUAUGUGCCUCAAACUCAAUACUUAUAUCUCAAAGUAUAAUAAAGUUGAACGAAGUAUGUACCAACUUUGGAUGUGAGAA